AAAAAAGAAAAAGGAUAAAGGGAAGGAAGCAAUGUCAGACGCUCACCAGUAUGCUGGGUGCUAUUGUCAACAGAAGGAAAGCACUGUGGGAGGUUUGCAUGAAGUUGUAAAUCAUGUCGGUGUUUGGGCCUCAUCUCUGGCUGGCCUGGUCUAUGGCCUCACCGAAUCCAGAGUGAACUUGCCCAGAGCUGAAACCCUGAGGCGACACAAUGACUCACCCCCUUGCACCAGGAUUCAUUCCACCAGAGGAGGCUUUGGUGAAGCCAGACCUGGAGAUUAGUUCCCAGACUUCCUUUGCCCACUGCUCCCCUUUACUUCUGAGAGACAUGGGAUACUGGGGGGUCAGGUAGUUAAGACAACAGGCUGUAGGAGGGAGGAGGUGGUUCUGAGCAGCAUGUUGGGAAUGCU